AAUAACAAGAUCAUUGGGCUGUCCCCUAAUUGUGGUGAGCUACAUGUUUAGUCUCUUAUGUGCUAAACAUUAUGUAGCCUAAGAAAGCAGCCCUGACUCUGGAGUUUAUAUGAAGGAGCAUGCUGAGUAACUAUCCAGAAUGUAGGUCCAAAGCAGAAAAAAGAGCACCAAGCAGAAACAUACCAUCUAAACUCCUUCGAUUCCUGUCAGACCAGAAAGACUUUCAGAAUCCUUGGAAGAUUUAAAGCCAUUGAAGUAUCAGUAUUGGAGCGGAAGAAGACCCAGUUGUAUCGUCUGUUUCCUGCCAUCUUGCAGUUUAACCUGGUUUCUUAAUGUAAAGUACUUGUAAUUUGCCCACUUGUCCUCAAUUAUCUUAAAGCUAACAUUUAAAACUAAUUUGCUAUGAGAUUAUUUGCCAAGACCUCUCACUGUGUGAUUCACAUGUCAAUAUGUAUUAUUGUGUGUAUAACUAGCUAUUUGGAAUUCAAAUGAUUUGUAUUCAUUAAAGAAUCUGUUU